rnacentral:misc_RNA from 1 species
UUAAAAUCGAAAGGAAAAUGGAGGAAAUACAUUUCAAGUACUUUCUCAUACAUACAAUUUCUAAGAAAGACACCCAAAAAAUGUUAUAUUGAUAUUCCUUCUCAAAUAAAUCACUACAUACAUACAACUUACAAGCCAAUGAUAUAUAGACAGUUGCCCCUUCACAAUUCUUUGCCAAAAGCCCAGAUUUCCAUUAAUUACAAUGUACUCAUUUCUCCCUAUACAUUCCAAUAUCAAUGCAACUAUCCCAUCAGACCAAAAUCUCAUCAUCAGAAAUACAUUCCCUGCAACUUGCCUUUUAUGUGUACAUACAUCACAAAAACACAUACAUUCUUUUCACUCUUCAAUCAGGGUGCCCGUGAAUCGAGAGAGAGAGGGUAUUUCAGCCUGCUAGUUCUCUGUAAUUCUUGCGGAUGCUCCAUAGAAUCUCGGCACAUUUUCUCAUGGUAGGCCGGUUCUGUCGAUGAGGAGCCAAACAUUGCAAAGCUAGUUCAUAAAUUUUUUCCAUGGCCAAACUAUUUGCAGCAGAUCUUUCUAACCUUGGAUCCAAAGUUAAGAUUGCAUCUCCACUGGUGAACUUCUUCAUUGCCCAUCUUGCAGUAAUGCGCUCUUUAAUUUCUUUCUUUGGCUCGAUAGGCCGCCUUCCCGUAACAAGUUCCACAAGUAAAACACCGAAUGAAUAGACAUCACUCUUCUCAGUAAGUUGAUAGGUACUUAGGUAUUCAGGGUCUAAGUAGCCUGCAGUCCCUUUAACUUGGGUAGAAACAUGUGUGGCUCCUGACUCAGUGUCAGCUGCUAGCCUUGCAAAACCAAAAUCGGCCACCUUAGCUCGAAGGUUUUCAGUGAGGAGAAUAUUAGAAGACUUGAUGUCUCGAUGGAUAAUAGGGUGAUCUGUAUACAUAUGCAAAUAUGUAAUUGCAUGUCCUACAUCUAUUCCAAUGUCUAGUCUUGACGCGAAAUCAAGAACAUUUCCAUCAACACUAUCCAAG